rnacentral:rRNA from 1 species
AGGGUCAAGUUCUCUGGAUUAUGAAGAUCGAACCUGGCUCGCGCAAGCGUUCGAACAAGGAGCGGUCUCCAUAAUCAAGAACUGAAGGUAAGGGGAUCGAGAUGAUAGAUUCCAUCGUAGUUCUUACCCAUAAACCUAUGCGAUCAGGAUGGCGGGUCGUUGUUCUUCGGACUCCGUCAGCACUGUUAUGAGAAAUCAAAAUUCUUUGGGUUCCGGGGGGGAGGUAUGGUCGCAAGGCUGAAACUUAAAGAAAUUGACGGGAAGGGCACCACCAGGAGUGGAGCUUGCGGCUUAAUUUGACUCAACACGGGGAAACUUACCAGGUCCAGACAAAGUAAGGAUUGACAGAUUGAGAGCUCUUUCUUGAUUCUUUGGGUGGUGGUGCAUGGCCGUCUUAGUUGGUGGAGUGAUUUGUCUGGUUAAUUCCGUUAACGAACGAGACCCCCGCCUGCUAAAUAGUCGACGGAAUGCGCUUGCAUUGCGCCGACUUCUUAGAGGGACUUUUGGUGACUAACCAAAGGAAGCUGGGGGCAAUAACAGGUCUGUGAUGCCCUUAGAUGUCCUGGGCCGCACGCGCGCUACACUGGCACACGCAACGAGUCUAUCACCUUGGUCGGCAGGCCCGGGUAAUCUGUGAACGUGUGCCGUGAUUGGGAUAGAUUGUUGCAAUUUUCAAUCUUGAACGAGGAAUUCCUAGUAAACGCAAGUCAUCAGCUUGCAUUGAUUACGUCCCUGCCCUUUGUACACACCGCCCGUCGCACCUACCGAUUGAAUGGUUCGGUGAAAUCCUCGGACUGUGGCACGCAAGCCUCGCGGCGAACGUGCCGUGGGAAGUUGAUUAAACCUCAUCAUUAGAGAAGCUGCACCUGAUUAAUUGUUGC